rnacentral:rRNA from 1 species
CUCUAUACGGAGUUACAAAGGACGACAUUAGACGAAUCAUCUGGAAAGAUGAAUCAAAGAAGGUAAUAAUCCUGUAGUCGAAAAUGUUGUCUCUCUUGAGUGGAUCCUGAGUACGACGGAGCACGUGAAAUUCCGUCGGAAUCUGGGAGGACCAUCUCCUAAGGCUAAAUACUCUCUAGUGACCGAUAGUGAACCAGUACCGUGAGGGAAAGGUGAAAAGCACCCCGGAAGGGGAGUGAAAUAGAACCUGAAACCGUGUGCUUACAAGUAGUCAGAGCCCGUUAAUGGGUGAUGGCGUGCCUUUUGUAGAAUGAACCGGCGAGUUACGAUUUGAUGCAAGGUUAAGCAGUAAAUGUGGAGCCGUAGCGAAAGCGAGUCUGAAUAGGGCGUUUAGUAUUUGGUCGUAGACCCGAAACCAGGUGAUCUACCCUUGGUCAGGUUGAAGUUCAGGUAACACUGAAUGGAGGACCGAACCGACUUACGUUGAAAAGUGAGCGGAUGAACUGAGGGUAGCGGAGAAAUUCCAAUCGAACCUGGAGAUAGCUGGUUCUCUCCGAAAUAGCUUUAGGGCUAGCCUCAAGUGAUGAUUAUUGGAGGUAGAGCACUGUUUGGACGAGGGGCCCCUCUCGGGUUACCGAAUUCAGACAAACUCCGAAUGCCAAUUAAUUUAACUUGGGAGUCAGAACAUGGGUGAUAAGGUCCGUGUUCGAAAGGGAAACAGCCCAGACCACCAGCUAAGGUCCCAAAAUAUAUGUUAAGUGGAAAAGGAUGUGGCGUUGCCCAGACAACUAGGAUGUUGGCUUAGAAGCAGCCAUCAUUUAAAGAGUGCGUAAUAGCUCACUAGUCGAGUGACACUGCGCCGAAAAUGUACCGGGGCUAAACAUAUUACCGAAGCUGUGGAUUGUCCUUUGGACAAUGGUAGGAGAGCGUUCUAAGGGCGUUGAAGCAUGAUCGUAAGGACAUGUGGAGCGCUUAGAAGUGAGAAUGCCGGUGUGAGUAGCGAAAGACGGGUGAGAAUCCCGUCCACCGAUUGACUAAGGUUUCCAGAGGAAGGCUCGUCCGCUCUGGGUUAGUCGGGUCCUAAGCUGAGGCCGACAGGCGUAGGCGAUGGAUAACAGGUUGAUAUUCCUGUACCACCUAUAAUCGUUUUAAUCGAUGGGGGGACGCAGUAGGAUAGGCGAAGCGUGCGAUUGGAUUGCACGUCUAAGCAGUAAGGCUGAGUAUUAGGCAAAUCCGGUACUCAUUAAGGCUGAGCUGUGAUGGGGAGAAGACAUUGUGUCUUCGAGUCGUUGAUUUCACACUGCCGAGAAAAGCCUCUAGAUAGAAAAUAGGUGCCCGUACCGCAAACCGACACAGGUAGUCAAGAUGAGAAUUCUAAGGUGAGCGAGCGAACUCUCGUUAAGGAACUCGGCAAAAUGACCCCGUAACUUCGGGAGAAGGGGUGCUCUUUAGGGUUAACGCCCAGAAGAGCCGCAGUGAAUAGGCCCAAGCGACUGUUUAUCAAAAACACAGGUCUCUGCUAAACCGUAAGGUGAUGUAUAGGGGCUGACGCCUGCCCGGUGCUGGAAGGUUAAGAGGAGUGGUUAGCUUCUGCGAAGCUACGAAUCGAAGCCCCAGUAAACGGCGGCCGUAACUAUAACGGUCCUAAGGUAGCGAAAUUCCUUGUCGGGUAAGUUCCGACCCGCACGAAAGGCGUAACGAUUUGGGCACUGUCUCAACGAGAGACUCGGUGAAAUCAUAGUACCUGUGAAGAUGCAGGUUACCCGCGACAGGACGGAAAGACCCCGUGGAGCUUUACUGUAGCCUGAUAUUGAAAUUCGGCACAGCUUGUACAGGAUAGGUAGGAGCCUUUGAAACGUGAGCGCUAGCUUACGUGGAGGCGCUGGUGGGAUACUACCCUAGCUGUGUUGGCUUUCUAACCCGCACCACUUAUCGUGGUGGGAGACAGUGUCAGGCGGGCAGUUUGACUGGGGCGGUCGCCUCCUAAAAGGUAACGGAGGCGCUCAAAGGUUCCCUCAGAAUGGUUGGAAAUCAUUCAUAGAGUGUAAAGGCAUAAGGGAGCUUGACUGCGAGACCUACAAGUCGAGCAGGGUCGAAAGACGGACUUAGUGAUCCGGUGGUUCCGCAUGGAAGGGCCAUCGCUCAACGGAUAAAAGCUACCCCGGGGAUAACAGGCUUAUCUCCCCCAAGAGUUCACAUCGACGGGGAGGUUUGGCACCUCGAUGUCGGCUCAUCGCAUCCUGGGGCUGUAGUCGGUCCCAAGGGUUGGGCUGUUCGCCCAUUAAAGCGGUACGCGAGCUGGGUUCAGAACGUCGUGAGACAGUUCGGUCCCUAUCCGUCGUGGGCGUAGGAAAUUUGAGAGGAGCUGUCCUUAGUACGAGAGGACCGGGAUGGACAUACCUCUGGUGUACCAGUUGUCGUGCCAACGGCAUAGCUGGGUAGCUAUGUGUGGACGGGAUAAGUGCUGAAAGCAUCUAAGCAUGAAGCCCCCCUCAAGAUGAGAUUUCCCAACUUCGGUUAUAAGAUCCCUCAAAGAUGAUGAGGUUAAUAGGUUCGAGGUGGAAGCAUGGUGACAUGUGGAGCUGACGAAUACUAAUCGAUCGAAGACUUAAUCAAA